AUUGAACGCUGGCGGCAGGCCUAACACAUGCAAGUCGAACGAGUGGCGGACGGGUGAGUAAUGUCUGGGAAACUGCCUGAUGGAGGGGGAUAACUACUGGAAACGGUAGCUAAUACCGCAUACCAUCAGAUGUGCCCAGAUGGGAUUAGCUAGUUGGUGGGGUAACGGCUCACCAAGGCGACGAUCCCUAGCGGGUCUGAGAGGAUGACCAGCCACACUGGGACUGAGACACGGACCAGACUCCUACGGGAGGCAGCAGUGGGGAAUAUUGGACAAUGGGGGCAAGCCUGAUGCAGCCAUGCCGCGUGGAUGAAGAAGGCCUUCGGGUUGUAAAGUACUUUUAUUGGGGAGGCGGUACCCGAAGAAGAAGCACCGGCUAACUCCGUGCCAGCAGCCGCGGUAAUAC
rnacentral:rRNA from 1 species